AGACAUCUGGUGCAUGGGAAGUUGCCCUAGGGUUUCUACCCAGUGAGUUGCCAGAGGGGUGUACCCCGGUAUAUUGGAGAAUGUGUCUUGUUUCUCCCUUAGUAAUUGUUGUACCUCAGUAUGCUACAGUGGGCUCAACCAGUCUCCCAGCGUAACCCCGAGAUCCCCGGACAGCCGACCGUCCCCCAGCAGGUCUGGGAGGGGAAGGCUGUCGAAC